rnacentral:rRNA from 1 species
CCCGAGAGUGACUAGCUACUGAAUCAUAGAAUUUCUUUAAAUUCAUGAUGUCGUAAGGGAAAAUAAUGAUAUUACCUUACUAUGAGUGUCGUCCAAAGCUGGUGCCAGAAGACUCGGUAAGACCAGAGACGCAAACGUUAAUCAUCUUAAACAGGCGUAAAGGGUUUGUAGGCAGCUUUCAUAAUAUUAUUUCUUACAAAAAUAAAGAAGUGGUCUGAUUGAAAGCUAGAAUCAAAAAGAGGUUAUAGUGUAUAACGCCUAGAGGAGGGCUGAUAUCCUUAGAUCCUAGGCAGAAUACUUAGGGCGAAGGCCACUCUCCACUAAUGAUUGACGCUGAGAAACGAAGGUAAGGGUAGGAAAUAGGAUUAGAUACCCCGGUACUCCUUUCUGUAAACGAUGAAUGGUAGUCAUUAGUAAAAUUAACUAGAGACGAAGUUAACACAAUAACCAUUCCGCCUUGUGAGUACUACUGCAAAGUAGAAAACAAAAAAAUUAGUCGGUCUCGAAGCAAACGGAGUGAAGCAUGUUAUUUAAUGUUAA